GAACGCUUAGCGACAGGCCUAACACAUGCAAGUCAGGGGCAGCGGGGAUGAAGCUUGCUUCAUCUGCCGGCGACCGGCGCACGGGUGCGUAACGCAUAUGCAACCUACCCAUAACAGGGGGAUAACACUGAGAAAUUGGUACUAAUACCCCGUAAUAUUGAAGAAGGCAUCUUCUUCAGUUGAAAGUUCCGGCGGUUAUGGAUGGGCAUGCGUUGUAUUAGCUAGUUGGUGAGGUAACGGCUCACCAAGGCGACGAUACAUAGGGGGACUGAGAGGUUAACCCCCCACAUUGGUACUGAGACACGGACCAAACUCCUACGGGAGGCAGCAGUGAGGAAUAUUGGUCAAUGGACGCAAGUCUGAACCAGCCAUGCCGCGUGAAGGUCACGGCCCUAUGGGUCUUAAACUUCUUUUGUAAGGGAGCAAUAAGUCUCACGUGUGGGAUGAUGAGAGUACCUUACGAAUAAGCAUCGGCUAACUCCGUG
rnacentral:rRNA from 1 species